GGAGGAAUUCACAGAGGAGAGAUUGUGCGAGCGGUCCAGAGAUGCAGAGACAAGGAUGUUGUUGCUAGGGAACAGUGAAAGGGACAUCCAUCUUUAGCAGAGCAAAAACACAGAGAUUGGGAGACAUUUUCCUUUCGUAAAUCGUGAAAUAAACACAUUUAGAGGGGGAGAUACAGAAAAAGAGUGACAAAAAGAAGGGGAGGAGACUACAGGUGAGAUUAUGUAAUCAUCACAUCAGAAAGGCCACAGCUCUCUCAUCACCGGGUUGGGAUUAUAUGGUGGUCUCGAACGGCGCGUUCUCUGAAUCUGUAAGUCUGCUGUCAUUCAAGGAUGAAAAUAAAACAGAUUUAGCCUGAUUACUGCACAUUCGGUGAGCAAAUGGGACCUAUAUGUUCAUGUUUCCAGUUAAGAAUGGGAUUGUGCAGAUUUUGAAACGUUCUGUUUGGGACUGUCCUGAAAUCAUCCACCCGCCCCAGUGUGGCACUGCCAGAUGCCCUGUUUUUUGUGUGCAACCACAGGCGUUACUGGCUUCUAUUCGACUUGACAGACACCAGCUUGAUUCUGUCUUGGCACUGACAGAAAGACAGACAGUGACGUGGAACUAUAUGGUUGUACUUUCUCAUCCAAUGUAAACACUAUAGAUUUAACCAGCUGGAAUUAAAAAUCAACAGGGCUGAAGGUGGACGAUAUCAAAUACAUAUCAAAGCCAGCGGCGAGAAAACUCUUUUGUGUGUUAUCUGGAACACAGUAUGGGAACCACUGAAGCCACUUUACGCAUGGAGAACAUGGAGGUAAAAGACGAAUGGCAGGAUGACGAUUUCCCACGGCCUCUUCCAGAAGAUGGUGAUUUAGAUGGACUCACUGACAAUACAACUUCACAUCAUGGCGCUCUGACAGAUGAUCACAUAGAAUCCGUCCACUGCAAGCGGCGCACACUGAUCGCCCCGGAGAUCAACCUGUCGCUCGAUAAAAGCGAAGGUUCUGUCCUUUCGGAGGACUUCCUUGAAACACCCGACGACCUGGACAUAAACGUAGAUGACAUUGACACGCCAGAUGAUGAUUCUCUCGGGUCCAUCACCAACGGCACUGAACUGGAAUGGGAAGAUGACACUCCAGUGGCCAGUGCGAAAGGUCCUGGGGGCGAUGAGGGCGACGGGACGGGUCGUCUAUGGAGGACGGUGAUAAUUGGUGAGCAGGAGCACAGAAUAGACAUGCAGGUGAUCAGACCGUACCUGCGCGUCGUCACGCAUGGAGGUUACUACGGUGAGGGACUCAAUGCAAUCAUCGUGUUUGCUGCCUGCUACCUGCCCGAUAGCGGCUGUACAGACUACAAUUACAUCAUGGAAAACCUCUUCCUGUACGUGAUCAGCAGUUUAGAGUUGUUGGUUGCUGAAGACUACAUGAUCAUUUACAUGAAUGGAGCCACACCACGCAGGAGAAUGCCAGGAAUCAGUUGGCUCAAGAGAUGCUACCAGAUGAUAGAAAGAAGGUUAAGAAAGAAUCUCAAAUGUUUGAUCAUCGCACACCCUUCCUGGUUCAUCCGCACAGUUCUAGCCAUCUCAAGGCCGUUUAUUAGUGUGAAGUUUAUGGAAAAGAUUCGUUACGUCCAGAGUCUGGAGGAACUGGCUCAGAUUGUUCCCAUGGCACAUGUGCAGAUUCCAGAGUGUGUGAUGCAAUAUGACGAUGAGCGAAUCAAAGUGCAGAGAGACAGACCCAGUGAAACUGCCCUCUAAGGGGAAGUGAAAAUACAUCUGGUUGUUCAGGCCUCAUAUGUAUACUAUAGGCCUACUUCUUCCAAAUGGAACUGUGUCAACAUACGGAAGUUUGGGAGCCCCGCAAUCUACUCAUGAGCAAACAAUCACGGAUGAGAAGCAUGGAUGUUCGAAUCAAACCACUAAUAUCCAUAUGAUGUGAAGAAAGUGUUCCACAGAAACUCACACACUUUCAACCGCAAUAUUUCUCUGCCCAGCAUUAUCAUUAUCCUGAAAGCAUGGAAUUUAUAUCUGUCUUGAAUCCGUUAUACGUUUAUGUGGCGAAGUGUAAAUAGACUGUGCAUUCCUAUUCAGAAAGCAAUAUGCUGAAGAGACACAUUUUUUAUCAGUAAUAAUAAUUGCAUUAAAACUAUAUAACUUUGAGUGUGAUAAUUUCAUAAGUGUUGUUGGAAUCUCAGUGCGCACACUUAGGCUAUAUGUUACUUCAAUCAUAUCUCUACAGGCUUGAACAACUGACACAGACAUCAGCUCCAGUGAGGCCACCCUCAGUAGCUGCAGAGGCCAGUCCCUAACGCGGUGCAUUGGACUAACCUAAUGUCCUGUUUCACCAUAAUAUCAAAGAGACACAUCUGUGCAUGUCAUUUCCCAAAGAUGUUUCUUUAAAGAACAAUCAUGUGGACACCAAAAUGGAUUUUUCUCAAGAACAAUCAUCAACAAAAAGUGAAGUUUUUCCAUACACACUCACCUUUCGGUCGGGGUCACUUUAAAACUGGAUCACAGCUGAAUAAGUGAAAAACAACAAACAUACUCUUUUUUUCUCAAUACUAAGAGGAACAUCUGUGAAAACCAAAACAUGUUGCAUAACACUCAUAUUUCAUUUCUUUGUUGCACAGAUGUCAACGUUUUUGCUCGAUUUGACAAGUGAUUCUUCUUUUUCCAAGCGAUCAAUUUAUAUCAGAAGGACGAUAUGUAAUCACAACUGAUCCUUGACUUGGCAGUUUAACCUUGCGUAUGUGCCAACCAGUUCCACAGAUUUUGUCUUUUACAUAAUGCAGCAGUUUACAGGUUUAAAUCAGCAUGAUAUCAAAAUCGACCCUACUUCCUUAAGACACGGUCCUCAUCAUAUUGUGCAUGAUUCGGCAAUGUAGAAAAAAAAUGAAAGCCACUUUACAUAAACCAGUCAAUUGCCGAUGGAUAAAAUUAAGUAGCAACUUGCUGUCCAUUUUUUUCUCUACAUUAUGGAAGUAAAAUUGGUUGCAAAUGCCAUUUCAUGUUGACUUUUAAACUUAUCUGAUUUCCUUAGAUGUGUAUUAGUAAACUGCACUGUACAUACAGAUCUGAAUUUAAAGACACAUUUAGAGCGAAAGACUAUGGCCUAUCGUGUUUGAUGUUUGCUGGGGUUUGCUUCUGUAAUGUAUGUCUUUAACAAGUAACAGGGUCUUUGUUUGGAGUGGAAUACUUGCGUACUGCUUACUGCAUACUGCAUACUGUGCAGUAUAGUACGUAAGGCAGUAUGCACAGACUAACUUUUUAAACAGAAGUAUGUUCUACAUUUUUGUCAUAUAACCCAACCUGAUCAAAAGUACUUGACAAAAGAAGUGCAUUAUUGGAUAAAGUGUUCCAUGCAGUGUGCUCUGCAUAUUUCGGCAAAUAUAGUAGGUAAUUUGGGUAAUCUAUACAGAAAUUGUGCACACUGAACACCGUAUACAUGCUGCAUACUGCAGAAAUAGUACGUAGUGUGGUAGUAUGCCAUUCAAUCCAAGUGAGCCAUUUGAGUUCACUGUAAUAAUCCAUGUACAUAAACUGUGUAAUUCAGCCCCGCACUAGAAACUCAUGGGUGCUUCCAAUACAAACUGUCCAUUAUGACAUCACAAGAGGCGGGGCUUGUUAUCCCUCCCUUUCUAAUGCCUUAUGAGCACUCUGUAACACUUAAACGAUCACAUACUACACAGUGAGUUCUUAAAUGUCUCCUAUAUUUGUCUGCAAUCAUUAAAAAGGGGUAUUGAAAAAUCAUUACGCACUCCAAUGGGAAAUAAUAGUAAAAAUGUGGACUUCUUAUUUCUGGCAUGGGUCAGAAUUCAUUGGCUUUAUUCUAAUAUUCAUGUGCUCAUAUUGCAUUUUGAGAGGAUCAUUUCAGCCACAUUGUUGUAUAAUGUACAUGAUCAAACUGUUUUAAAGUGUAUUGUGUGUAGAUCUUUCGUAUCAUUUAAUGUGCAAUAAGUGAACAAGUUGCUAAUAUCGAUAAUGUAAUUAAUAAAAGAAAAAUUUAACUGCA